UCAAGGUUCAGUGGCUCCUCUCUCAGUAGGAAAGGAAACAGUGUUUGCGAUGGCUCUUGUAUGACAGAGCAGCAUCUGGCACAGUCUGGAAUCAUGCUGUUCAGUUGGUGCUUAUCUGGACCUUUCAGUUCAGGCUUUUCCAGACGUUAACCAAUGAAACUAUCCAACACGCCUGGGAGACAAGUCAGUCUCAUUCUCAUUGUACAGCUCUUGGAAUGAAAGAUGGAUUCCCUGCACUUUCUACCUUCUAACCCAAAUAUUUAAGGGCAAAUUGUCACUCUGACUGCAUAAAAGCAGUGCCCAUUAAAGUCAAAAGGAGCAACAUCUGUACAUCUGAGGGCAGUAUUUGGCCCUACAAACAUUAGGCCUGGAUGUGAAUUCCACAGCUUAGGCCUCUCCAUCCUUUGACUGUGUACACGGUUCUCCAUCCUUUGCUGCUGGCUCCAUUUGGGACCAUUCCUUUCCUGCUACAGAGGCAGAAGUAGGAGCUUGGGGCAGCAGUGAAAACGCUGUUGAGGACAAGAUUAGGAAGAUCAAAAGAAGCUGGAGAUCCCAAGAGCAGGGCUGCCUGUACCAGGAGAGCUCUAUCUAGCAGAAGACAAAAACAGACUAUCUUGCGAAAGGCACAGGAACUAGUUCUAACUAGUGUAAGAGGGCAGGAUGCGGAGCAGCUGUAAACAACUUUCACCUCCCAGUGACCCUGCACAUCAGUUUAGCCCCCUGUACAAAAUCUCCCCAGAAUGUAUUAACCUUUUAUUUACUACUUUAAUACAGAACAAUGAAAAACAUAUGUCUAAAACCACAAGUCAAAGUGUUUACAAAUCUGCUGAGUCUUGCAAUAUGGGAUAUAUUCCUUAAAGUCUUAAGAGUCCUGUGAUGACAUAAACAUCUUGACUUCCAUUAAAAAGAAAAUUUUGAGUCUG